AUUGAACGCUGGCGGCAUGCCUUACACAUGCAAGUCGAACGGUAACAGGUCUUCGGAUGCUGACGAGUGGCGAACGGGUGAGUAAUACAUCGGAACGUGCCUAGUAGUGGGGGAUAACUACACGAAAGAGUGGCUAAUACCGCAUGAGAUCUACGGAUGAAAGCAGGGGAUCGAAAGACCUUGUGCUACUAGAGCGGCCGAUGGCAGAUUAGGUAGUUGGUGGGAUAAAAGCUUACCAAGCCGACGAUCAGUAACUGGUCUGAGAGGACGAUCAGCCACACUGGGACUGAGACACGGCCCAGACUCCUACGGGAGGCAGCAGUGGGGAAUUUUGGACAAUGGGCGAAAGCCUGAUCCAGCAAUGCCGCGUGCAGGAUGAAGGCCUUCGGGUUGUAAACUGCUUUUGUACGGAACGAAAAGCCCCGGGUUAAUACCCUGGGGUCAUGACGGUACCGUAAGAAUAAGCACCGGCUAACUACGUGCCAGCCGCCGCAGUAA
rnacentral:rRNA from 1 species